UCCUGUAAUUAUGGUGACCCACUCCUAAACGAUGAUUAAUAUGAACGUUACUGUCCGCUAUCUCCUGUCCAUAUAAAUAUGUGGACGAGCAAAUCUACUUUGUCUACCCUCUUUUAUCCCCCCUUCAACCUGCCAUUGUUCAUCAGAGAUGCUUGUUGCUUAGGGGAUCGUCUUCCCUUUUAUUGCGGAUACUUAUUCAGGGAUUCCUCACAGCAACUUCGUAAAUUUCAUUUUCUGCAAUGGCGGCUGGACAGGAUAUACAUAUAUAGCAUAAUGACAAAUCGUUCUCGUAUGAUCCCAUGGUAACGAUGCCCAGGAACCACACUUGGUUCGCGGCUCUAAUAGUGUUCUACCCCAGAGUAACAAGGAAAGGAUUAAUGAACCAAUUGUUAUGGUCAGCCGCAUGUUAUUACAACAGAAAAGAGAUGCUUUCUUUCCGGUAUACUCUGUCCAACAUGCAAAGAAAAACUGAUCGCAUUAGACUGAAGAAGCAAAAAAAUAAAAAAAGGUCUUGGAAGAACCAACGCUUGAUCCUAAUGGAGUAACGGGGAACCCCAUUUACCCCUGGGUGAAGAAUUCAGUGAUG